rnacentral:rRNA from 1 species
UACGAAGGGGGCUAGCGUUGUUCGGAAUCACUGGGCGUAAAGCGCACGUAGGCGGAUUGUUAAGUCGGGGGUGAAAUCCUGAGGCUCAACCUCAGAACUGCCUUCGAUACUGGCAAUCUCGAGUCCGGAAGAGGUUGGUGGAACAGCUAGUGUAGAGGUGAAAUUCGUAGAUAUUAGCUAGAACACCAGUGGCGAAGGCGGCCAACUGGUCCGGUACUGACGCUGAGGUGCGAAAGCGUGGGGAGCGAACGGG